GGGGCAUAAGCCUAGGCCCCACCCAGUGCCCGACUAUGAGCUAAGGAGGCCCAAGUUGCAGCCCGGGUUUGGAGGGAGUUUGAGACGAAGCGAAGGGUGAGUCUUGCAUCCCACAGCUUGGUCUUGCACCCCUGAGACUUCUGUGAGGCUAGGGUUCCUGUGCCCAGUUUCUUUUUUUUUUUCCGAAAGAGACAGAAUCUCGCUCUGUCACCCAGGCUGGAGUGCAGUGGUAUGAUCUCAGCUCACUGCAACCUCAGCCUCCCGGGUUCAAGCAGUUCUCCUGCCUCAGCUGGGAUCACAGGCACCCACCACCAUGCCUGGCAAAUUUUUGUAUUUGUAGUAGAGACGGGGUUGCACCAUGUUGGCCAGGCUGGUCUCGAACUCCUUACCUCAAGUGAUCUGCCCACCUCAGCCUCCCAGACUGCUGGGAUUACAGGCAUGAGCCACCUCGCCCGGCUCACCCGGUUGCCUGUGCCCAGUUUCAAGGAGAGAAAAUUGAGGCUCGGAAAAUGAAAGGCAGAGAGUUGAGUAGCUUGAAGGCCGCAGGGCAGACUGCUGCAAAGACUUCCGGGUCUCGCCCUGCCUAGGAUCCUGGCUUCCUGGAUAAGCAGGCUCGCUGCCACUACCUGAAGGGUAAACUGAGGCAUCUCAAGACUCAGAUCCAGAAAUUCGAUGACUGAGGAGACAGCGAGGGCUCCGUGUACUUCUAAGUGCCCCUGCAGAUGGGC
rnacentral:sRNA from 1 species